rnacentral:rRNA from 1 species
AAACAGGUUAAUAUUCCUGUACUUGGUGUUACUGCGAAGGGGGGACGGAGAAGGCUAGGUUAGCCGGGCGACGGUUGUCCCGGUUUAAGCGUGUAGGUGGGUGACCUAGGUAAAUCCGGUUCAUCGUUAACACUGAGGCGUGAUGACGAGGCACUACGGUGCUGAAGUAACUGAUGCCCUGCUUCCAGGAAAAGCCUCUAAGCUCCAGGUAACAUUAAAUCGUACCCCAAACCGACACAGGUGGUCAGGUAGAGAAUACCAAGGCGCUUGAGAGAACUCGGGUGAAGGAACUAGGCAAAAUGGUGCCGUAACUUCGGGAGAAGGCACGCUGGUGUAAGGUGAAGUCCCUUGCGGAUGGAGCUGAAACCAGUCGAAGAUACCAGCUGGCUGCAACUGUUUAAUAAAAACACAGCACUGUGCAAACACGAAAGUGGACGUAUACGGUGUGACGCCUGCCCGGUGCCGGAAGGUUAAUUGAUGGGGUCAGCCGCAAGGCGAAGCUCUUGAUCGAAGCCCCGGUAAACGGCGGCCGUAACUAUAACGGUCCUAAGGUAGCGAAAUUCCUUGUCGGGUAAGUUCCGACCUGCACGAAUGGCGUAAUGAUGGCCAGGCUGUCUCCACCCGAGACUCAGUGAAAUUGAACUCGCUGUGAAGAUGCAGUGUACCCGCGGCAAGACGGAAAGACCCCGUGAACCUUUACUAUAGCUUGACACUGAACAUUGAGCCUUGAUGUGUAGGAUAGGUGGGAGGCUUUGAAGCGUGGACGCCAGUCUGCGUGGAGCCAUCCUUGAAAUACCACCCUUUAAUGUUUGAUGUUCUAACGUAGGCCCCUAAUCCGGGUUGCGGACAGUGUCUGGUGGGUAGUUUGACUGGGGCGGUCUCCUCCCAAAGAGUAACGGAGGAGCACGAAGGUUAGCUAAUCCUGGUCGGACAUCAGGAGGUUAGUGCAAAGGCAUAAGCUAGCUUGACUGCGAGAGUGACGGCUCGAGCAGGUGCGAAAGCAGGUCUUAGUGAUCCGGUGGUUCUGAAUGGAAGGGCCAUCGCUCAACGGAUAAAAGGUACUCCGGGGAUAACAGGCUGAUACCGCCCAAGAGUUCAUAUCGACGGCGGUGUUU